rnacentral:rRNA from 1 species
AUGGCGGCCUCGCUCCUCUCGCGCGCCGCCUCGGCCGCCUUCGCCCUCCGCGGCGGCGCCCGGCUCCUCCCCAAGGAAACCCCCCUUCCUCCUCUCCUCCUCCUACUACUCCUCGCCACCGCCGCCGGCACGCUCCCCGCGGGCAGGGUCGGAUGGGCGCGCGCGGCGGAGGUCGGCUGCGGGGCGUCGCUGUCGCCGUCGAUGACGCGGUUCGGGAUCGCGGCGCGCUUCAACGCCACGUCAUCGGCCGUCUCGGAGGCCGCCGCCGCGUCGGGCGUCGUCGACGCGGUGCCGCGGACCGAGCCUGUCGUGUCCGCUGAGUGGCUCCACGCCAACCUCAGGGACCCUGAUGUGAAGGUACUUGAUGCCUCUUGGUAUAUGCCUGCAGAACAAAGGAAUCCACUUCAGGAGUACCAGGUGGCUCAUAUCCCUGGUGCUUUAUUCUUUGAUGUUGAUGGAAUAUCUGACAGAGCAUCUAAUCUGCCACACAUGCUGCCAUCUGAAAAAGCAUUUUCCGCCGCUGUGUCUUCUCUUGGCAUCUACAACAAAGAUGGAAUAGUAGUUUACGAUGGAAAGGGUCUAUUUAGCGCUGCUCGUGUUUGGUGGAUGUUUCGUGCUUAUGGACACGACAAAGUUUGGGUUUUGGAUGGAGGUUUGCCCCAAUGGCGUGCUUCUGGGUAUGAUGUUGAAUCAAGUGCCUCUAGUGAUGCUAUCUUAAAAGCCAGUGCUGCUAGUGAAGCAAUCGAGAAAGUUUAUCAGGGGCAAUCGGUUGGUCCCACCACAUUUGAAGCGAAGUUGCAGCCUCAUCUUCUUUGGAAUCUUGGUCAGGUGAAAGAGAACAUCGAGACCCAGACACAUCAACUUAUAGAUGCUCGAGGGAAGCCUAGAUUUGAUGGUGCAGUUCCAGAGCCACGCAAGGGAAUAAGAAGCGGGCAUGUGCCUGGGAGCAAAUGCGUUCCUUUUCCUCAGGUGCUUGACAGUACACAGAAGCUAUUGCCUGCAGAUGAGCUCCGUAAGCGAUUCGAGCAAGAAGGUAUAUCACUUGAUCAACCCAUUGUGACCUCUUGCGGCACUGGUGUGACAGCAUGUGUAUUAGCUUUGGGCCUUCACCGCCUCGGCAAAACUGAUGUUGCCGUGUACGAUGGAUCAUGGACCGAGUGGGGUGCUCACCCCGACACUCCAGUUGCUACUGCUGUUUAG